rnacentral:rRNA from 1 species
UACGAAGGGGGCUAGCGUUGCUCGGAAUGACUGGGCGUAAAGGGCGCGUAGGCGGUUUGUACAGUCAGAUGUGAAAUUCCCGGGCUCAACCUGGGGGCUGCAUUUGAUACGUGCGGACUUGAGUGGGGAAGAGGGUCGUGGAAUUCCCAGUGUAGAGGUGAAGUUCGUAGAUAUUGGGAAGAACACCGGUGGCGAAGGCGGCGACCUGGUCCUUGACUGACGCUGAGGCGCGAAAGCGUGGGGAGCAAACAGG